ACUCCGGUGGUGUGAGAUGGGCCCGCGUCUGAUUAGUUAGUUGGCGGGGUAACGGCCCACCAAGGCGACGAUCAGUAGCCGACCUGAGAGGGUGACCGGCCACAUUGGGACUGAGACACGGCCCAAACUCCUACGGGAGGCAGCAGUGGGGAAUAUUGCACAAUGGGGGAAACCCUGAUGCAGCGACGCCGCGUGAGCGAAGAAGUAUUUCGGUAUGUAAAGCUCUAUCAGCAGGGAAGAAACUGACGGUACCUGACUAAGAAGCACCGGCUAAAUACGUGCCAGCAGCCGCGGUAAUACGUAUGGUGCAAGCGUUAUCCGGAUUUACUGGGUGUAAAGGGAGCGUAGACGGAGCAGCAAGUCUGGAGUGAAAACCCGGGGCUCAACCCCGGGACUGCUUUGGAAACUGUUGUUCUAGAGUGCUGGAGAGGUAAGUGGAAUUCCUAGUGUAGCGGUGAAAUGCGUAGAUAUUAGGAGGAACACCAGUGGCGAAGGCGGCUUACUGGACAGUAACUGACGUUGAGGCUCGAAAGCGUGGGGAGCAAACAGGAUUAGAUACCCUGGUAGUCCACGCCGUAAACGAUGACUGCUAGGUGUCGGGUGGCAAAGCCAUUCGGUGCCGCAGCUAACGCA
rnacentral:rRNA from 1 species